rnacentral:rRNA from 1 species
UCGAGAAUUUUUCUCAAUGGGCGAAAGCCUGAAGGAGCGACGCCGCGUGGGGGAUGAAGGGCUUCGGCUCGUAAACCCCUGUCAUUCGCGAACAAUUCCUCCAGCCUAACACGUUGGAGGUUGAUGGUAGCGGAAGAGGAAGGGACGGCUAACUCUGUGCCAGCAGCCGCGGUAAUACAGAGGUCCCAAGCGUUGUUCGGAUUCACUGGGCGUAAAGGGUGCGUAGGCGGCAGGGAAAGUUUGAUGUGAAAGCUCCGGGCUUAACCCGGAAAUGGCAUUGAAUACUCCCCUGCUCGAGGAUUGGAAGGGAGACUGGAAUUCUCGGUGUAGCAGUGAAAUGCGUAGAUAUCGAGAGGAACACCAGUGGCGAAGGCGAGUCUCUGGACAAUUCCUGACGCUGAGGCACGAAAGCCAGGGUAGCAAACGGG